CACACAUCUCCAUUUUUCCCCAAAUAGCCAAACCAGCAGCUUGUCUUCCUCCCACUGUCUUCAUCUUUCUAUCUGCAACCAACAAAGAUCCAAGAAAAAUAAGUAGAGAUGGUGAGCUGAGAAAUCAUAGUAGAUCGAAGGAGGAAGGCUAGAGCAAGAAGUUAGCCUACUGGACUGGGAUCUGGAAGUAGGAGCAGCACUAGUAGGAACAACAGAGAAGGCAAAAGAAGAAAGGAAGCGAGUACAGCCCGGAGAAGGAGGCGCUACAGAAGCAAAUUGAGUCCGGAUCUGAGUACAAAAACUCAGGCAAGCUCUCCUUGAUCAGGCUGAGUAGAACUUUUUCUGAAGAAAAAAACACUAUUCUCUACUAUGUUAUCAUCAACUUGCAUAAAAUGGUUUGGUAAUAAAUUGUGUGGAGUGACUGUUGACAUAUAGUUGGGUUAGCUGAUGGAGCAGCUAAUCCAUUGAUUUAUUUAUUUUAUAAUUAUUCAGUGGGUAGAGGGCGCCCUAGAUGGACAUACGGGAAGGUGGGGCCCUCUACAUAUGGCUAGUAUAUUAAGAUUAAAUAACUUUCACUCAUUUUAUGUGCCAUACUACAACCGUAUCAACCAUGGUCUCAUCUAUGACGAGUUGAGCCCAACACCAUCAAGUUAUUAUACUCUUGACAUGGGUAAGUAGUAGUAGGAUGGGCGAUGAGUUCCCACGCUAAUGCCGGAUGAGUGCAUUAGCAAGCGCUAUAUAUUCAGCGUUGGUGGAGUGCGGGUUCCGAAACCCGACACAACAGCUAGUGACCACUAGCCGGGUGGAGAUAUAAUAUACAUAAUGGAAACAAGUUUUAUGUUCUGAACCAUGUCUCGCAUCUAAGGAAAUGCAGAUGGCAAUUAUGGUUUCGAGCUCUAUGGGUAAAGUGAUACAAACUCUGCAGAGUUAAAGUAAAACAUGAAUUCAUGCCAGUCUCUUGGAUUGGGGACUACGGGGACCUAAUGGUGGUCUAUCUCGCAAUACGAGUGUUUGAUAGUUUUUUAUAAAUUGAAAUAAACUUUCUGCAAAAAAUAUUUAUUUAUUUUACAGGAGUUGAGUUGAGGUAGGACUUGUUGAUUUAUAUUGAGCUAUCAUGAGUGUGCAUUUUUCUAUUUGAGAUUGCUGAGUACUUUGUACUCACUCUUGCUAUUAAUCGUCUCUUUCCUGGUGCAAAGCUUGUAUGAUAAUCCUACUGGACCAAGUGAGGAGAGCAAUGGUGAUGGAUACAACUACACAGGGGACAUAGAUGUGGAUCCAUCCAGUGCCAUGUACGAUCUGGAUGCUACAUAUGGGGGCUGGGAUGAAUAAGUAACUAUGAUCUAGCUAUGUAAUCCAAGAACUAUUUUAUCACAAUCAAAUCUUGGACCGCUAGUUGGAACUCCAGUUUUAGGACAUGUAAUAAUUUGAUGAACAUGUGAGAAGCCUACUUGAGACUUCAGCCCUGUGUGGCAUGGUAUUGUAAUAUAGAUGACCA